UCCCUGGUAGUAUAUCGGUUAGUACACGCGCCUGUCAUAAGUCAGUAAGAGCGUAGUUUCGCGCGAAAGCUGGGUUCGACUCCCAGCCAGGGAG